UACGGGGGGGGUAAGCGUUGUUCGGAAUUACUGGGCGUAAAGGGCUCGUAGGCGGCCAACUAAGUCAUACGUGAAAUCCCUCAGCUUAACUGGGGAACUGCGUGUGAUACUGGAUGGCUUGGAUUUGGGAGAGGGAUGCGGAAUUCCUGGUGUAGCGGUGAAAUGCGCAGAUAUCAGGAGGAACACCGGUGGCGAAGGCGGAUCUCUGGGCCUUACCUGACGCUCAGGCGCGAAAGCUAGGGGAGCGAACAGG
rnacentral:rRNA from 1 species